ACGAGUUCUGCUCUCAUUUUUGGCCGACGGCGCCGUGGGGGGCCGGGAAAACCACCGGCACCGCGGUGGUUUCCCUGACUUCGGUAUGGGAUAAACACCGAAACGACUGUCCGAUGGUGUGCCUGGGCUCAGCCGGCCAGCGAGGGGACGGCUGGGGGACCCAGCGAAGACUCGGAGAGUCUGCAGUGCUCUGGCAGCCAAAGCCAGGGCCUAUGAAGGUAUAUUAUAUAUGAGAAAAGAAGAGGAAAGCUGAGAAACUUGUUGAAAGCAAAACAAAAGGAACACCUGACACAAAUCUCUGUGGUUGACAGCCAUAUCCUCUGAGAAUUCCAAUGAGUUAGGAGAAGACCACAGCAGCAUGCUCUUUUGUCUUACCUUGUUCCAAUUGCAACUUGAGUCAUGAUUGAUGAAAUCUAUUUUCUGCAGUAAGAAAGCACACUUUAUAUCAAAUUAGCAUCCCAAACUCUUUGCCAGGAGGAAUCUUACGUUUAAGCAUGGAGAUAUUUGCCUAGCUCGAAGGACUGACAUAAGAAUUAAUUACUUAGUAUCUGAAUACCUGAAGGUGGAGUGACCUGCACAUAAUGUUAGUGUGUUCAUACCUGCCUAAAGAUGCCCAAGCAAACUGGUCCAGGAGAAGAGUGGAAGUUAUGGGAAGAGAGCAGCAAUAAACACUCAGACAUCCAGUGAAACAAGAGACAACCACAUACGGUCACUCAAAUUUAAAUUUACUUAUUUCAAGGUGUCAAAGCAUUUCAAACCAUGUUAAGAGUAUUUAUGUAGAAGGCUAGAGAUAGAGCAGGUACCUAAGCUCUUACAAUUUCACAUUGAAGUCGCUUAGGUUCCAAAAAUACUGCUUGUACAUAUAUAAAUACCUUGGUCUUGACA